GCCUCUGUGGUGGAAUUGGUAGACACGCAGGACUUAAAAUCCUGUGACCUCAACAGUCGUGCGGGUUCAAGUCCCGCCGGAGGUA
rnacentral:tRNA from 2 species